rnacentral:rRNA from 1 species
GACGAACGCUGGCGGCACGCUUAACACAUGCAAGUCGAACGAAGAUGUUUCACCGUAGCUUGCUACACCGAGACAUUUUAGUGGCGGACGGGUGAGUAACACGUGAGCAAUCUGCCUUUCAGGAGGGGAUACCAGUUGGAAACGACUGUUAAUACCGCAUAACAUAUCGAGAUCGCAUGAUAUUGAUAUCAAAGAUUUAUCGCUGAAAGAUGAGCUCGCGUCUGAUUAGAUAGUUGGUGAGGUAACGGCUCACCAAGUCGACGAUCAGUAGCCGGACUGAGAGGUUGGACGGCCACAUUGGGACUGAGACACGGCCCAGACUCCUACGGGAGGCAGCAGUGGGGAAUAUUGCACAAUGGGCGCAAGCCUGAUGCAGCGAUGCCGCGUGAGGGAAGAAGGUUUUAGGAUUGUAAACUGUUGUCGCAAGGGAAGAAGACAGUGACGGUACCUUGUGAGAAAGUCACGGCUAACUACG